GACGAACGCUGGCGGCGUGCCUAAUACAUGCAAGUAGGACGCAGUUGCGAACGCGUGAGUAACGCGUAGCUAACUACCUAUUAGAGGGGGAUAACUCUUUGAAACGAUAGCUAAUACCGCAUACUAGUAGAUUGACCUGCGUUGUCUUAGGUAGUGGGUAGGGUAAUGGCCUACCUAGGCAACGAUACAUAGCCGACUGGAGAGGGUGAUCGGCCAAAAGGGGACUGAGGAACGGCCCAGACUCCUACGGGAGGCAGCAGUAGGGAAACGUCGGAAAUGGGGGGAAAACUGAACGAGCAAAGCCGCGUGAGUGAAGAAGGGUUUCGGAUCGUAAAGCUCUGUUGUUAGAGAAGCGGUACUUAACCAGAAAGGGACGGCUAACUACGUGCCAGCAGCCGCGGUAAUAC
rnacentral:rRNA from 1 species